ACAGUGGUGGUUCAGUGGGAGAAUUCUCGCUUCCUGUUUGAGAGACCCGGGUUCGAUUCCCAGCCAAUGCA
rnacentral:tRNA from 1 species